UACAUUAAAAGCUUAUAGCUUAUAAGUUCAUACCUUAUAGAUUUAUAUGUAAAUAAUAAUU
rnacentral:tRNA from 1 species